AGAGUUUGAUCAUGGCUCAGAUUGAACGCUGGCGGCACGCUUAACACAUGCAAGUCGAGCGGCAGCAUGACAUGUAGCAAUACAUGUUGAUGGCGAGCGGCGGACGGGUGAGUAACGCGUAGGAACCUGCCCUUGAGAGGGGGAUAACCAGAGGAAACUUUGGCUAAUACCGCAUAAACUCGAGAGAGCAAAGUUGCCCGCAAGGGUGAUGCUUGAGGAGGGGCCUGCGUCCGAUUAGCUAGUUGGUGAGGUAAUAGCUUACCAAGGCGAUGAUCGGUAACUGGUCUGAGAGGACGACCAGUCACACUGGGACUGAGACACGGCCCAGACUCCUACGGGAGGCAGCAGUGGGGAAUCUUGGACAAUGGGGGCAACCCUGAUCCAGCGAUGCCGCGUGAGUGAAGAAGGCCUUCGGGUCGUAAAGCUCUUUAGGUUGGGAAGAAGUGUGUGUGGUGAAUAGCCAUGCAUAUUGACGGUACCGACAGAAUAAGCACCGGCAAACUCUGUGCCGGCAGCCGCGGUAAUACAGAGGGUGCGAGCGUUAAUCGGAAUUACUGGGCGUAAAGGGCGCGUAGGCGGUAGAAUGUGAGUGUUGUGAAAGCCCUGGGCUUAACCUGGGAAGUGCAAUGCAGACUAUUUUACUGGAGUAUAUGAGAGGGUGGUGGAAUUUCCGGUGUAGCGGUGAAAUGCGUAGAGAUCGGAAGGAACGUCGAUGGCGAAAGCAGCCACCUGGCAUAAUACUGACGCUGAGGCGCGAAAGCGUGGGGAGCGAACAGGAUUAGAUACCCUGGUAGUCCACGCUGUAAACGAUGAGUACUAAAUGUUUGUAGGGGAACCUAUGAGUAUUGAAGUUAACACGAUAAGUACUCCGCCUGGGAAGUACGGCCGCAGUGAAACUCAAUGAUGACGGGGCCGCACAGCGGUGGAGCAUGUGGUUUAUCGAUGCACGCGAGACCUUACCUACCCUUGACAUCCUGCGAACCUGGUUGGAGAG
rnacentral:rRNA from 1 species